GCACCAGUAGCUCAAUGGAUAGAGCGUUGGCCUCCGGAGCCAGAGGUUGUGGGUUCGACCCCCACCUGGUGUA
rnacentral:tRNA from 1 species